rnacentral:lncRNA from 1 species
ACCACUGGUCGGUUUGCGGGCAGUCCGCUUUGUAGGAGCCGUGGUACAGAGACCUCCUUACUUACCCCCCUUCUCCUUCGGCUGGAGCUCGGCGAGCGAGAGGCGGCGCUGGCGUUGGAGAGCGACGGCGGCGCGGCGGCGCCUGCGAACACCAGGGAAGCAGCCUCUAACGUUUGAGGGUCAAUCCAGAUGGAGAGAAGAUAGAGGAGAAAGAGCCGAAUGUGACCCAACCAUAGGUCAUCUCUUGCAACAUGGCACAUGCUGAAUAUUUAGCCCAGCAUUAGGAAGACAUGGAUCCAAAAGUAUUGAAAAAAUGACCAGUGUGUGUAAAGGAGACUCCGAGAUUGACUACCAGACUUCUAGAAUGAUGUAACCAUACCUACAUAGAUUGGCUCAACAUAGCAUCCUGGAGCACCUAUCCGUACCUGGAAUUAUUCUAUACAUCUAUUUUUUAUGUGUUUAUGGUUUGUCUCCUUCCAACAGAAUGCAAGCUCCUUGAAGGUCCCAUUUAUUCCACAUGGAACCUAGUGACUACAAAGAAGAAGAUGACCACCCACCCUGCUGCCCCUUCUCCAGCAGAAGAUGAACUUUGAAGAGAUUCCCAGAAGUCUCCAGAGAAGGACAGGCCGGAGGAUACAGAGGUUUCUCUUUGCACAAUCAGGGCAAUCAUUUGGAGGAGUGGAACCUGGGGGUCACCUGUCAGGCUCCAGCACUGAACUAGAAUUUCAACCCAGUUGGAAAUAUUUGAUCUCCGCUUCCACAAGAAAAAGAACAAUUAAAGCCAGGGGUAGAAAUGAGAAACACCUCCAGGGCUUCUUUGGUCCCUUGAAAUACUUGGUUUCUGCAUUCCAAGACUAUGGUUAGACGAGUCAUCUUUCUCAUACUAAGCUACCAAGCAGCAGCUGCCUAGAGACAGCUUUGAGAUCUGGCCCCCAUUCAAUGAUUGUGACAUUCAGAGAUGACUGUUUCAGGGACCAGAGAAGAUGACAGCUUUCCUCCUCUGUCUUCAGAGAAAGCAACAGGCAGCUGGAUACACAACACUGGUUUCUAGCUAUUUUUCCUGCGUAUGUCUGUGCAUGCAUACAUGUGUAUUUGACAUAACUAAGGGCAAGGUCACGUUUUCAUUUUCUUUUUCUUGUUGCCCAGUGAGCCACACUCCUUCUCCCGAACUCUCAAGCCCCUAGCCACAACCCAGCCUUGUAAGUGGAAAUGCUAUGAAUUUACGGUGAGGGAUUUUGAUCAAUUUCUUUUCCUUUCCCCUGGUUGUUCUCUUAUUGCCCUGAGAGGUAAGGCAAUAAGGCAACUCAAUACCAAUAUGGAUGACUUAUUGCCUUUUCCUAAACCUGAGAUUUUCACAUGGCAAGAAUCAUUUCUGAUUGCUUCUUGAGUGGGGUUCUGACAGUCCAGGGCUGGUGGGUGUCAAUCUGGUUUGACCAUAAGAACAGGACCAAAAACCUUGGAAAUCAAUCAUUUCUGAGAAACCAAAUGGUUCUCUUAUCCCAGUUCUCAUCAGUGAAAAGACACUGAAGGGAGUUGAAAUAAAUAUUAUUUGUUACUAAUGGUAAUAAACCCUGGUAGUUUAAUGUAUUUAGUUUUAAAUCUGUUCUAAUUGAUAUUUAGGAAGCUGCAUUUGAGAUUCAGCCUCUUGACAAGAUCACAGUGCUGCAGGAUUAAGAGUCAGAUGCGUGUUGUAAAUGCUGUGGAGACAGGCUGGGAUUACCAAAAUAAGAUGCAAAGUAU